AGUAAAAGUCGUAACAAGGUUUCCGUAGGUGAACCUGCGGAAGGAUCAUUAUCGAGUUUUUGAACGGGUUGUCUGCUGGCUCGAAAGAGCAUGUGCACGCCUGGCUCAUCCACUCUCAACUUCUGUGCACUUUUCAUAGGCCGGCUUGUGGGUGUCGCGUUCGCGCGCACUUGUAGGUCUGGCUUAUGCUCUACCACAAACGAUUCAGUUAUAGAAUGUCUUUACUUUGCGAUAACGCAAUUAUAUACAACUUUCAGCAACGGAUCUCUUGGCUCUCGCAUCGAUGAAGAACGCAGCGAAAUGCGAUAAGUAAUGUGAAUUGCAGAAUUCAGUGAAUCAUCGAAUCUUUGAACGCACCUUGCGCUCCUUGGUAUUCCGAGGAGCAUGCCUGUUUGAGUGUCUUGAAGUCAUCAACCCCUACCGUUUCGUGCGGAACAAGGGGAUUGGAGAUGGAGGCUUGCUGCUGUGAAGGUGGCUCCUCCCAAAUGCAUCGGUUGGACCUGUGGGUCGGACUCGACUGGGCGUUGUACCAUCCUCGCUUGACCGAGAAGUUCCCCUCUUAGUGUCCUCCCAUGACCUUGCCUGCAGAGUGGCGGUCAACUUACUUUGAAAUCUGACCUCAAAUCAGGUAGGACUACCCGCUGAACUUAAGCAUAUCAAUAAGCGGAGGA
rnacentral:rRNA from 1 species